rnacentral:lncRNA from 1 species
GAGCCCUGGGCAUCUGGGGACGAGGCCUGGCAUUUGCGGGACAGUGAGUGGCCCAGCCAGCAGCCAAGGAUGGGGUCUCCGCCACCCGGUUUACUUGAAAGUGUGGCUCUCAGCUCCACCCCGCCCAAAGCCUUUAGGCCCAAACAUGGCGGAGUAGCAGGAGAUGGGUAUCUAGAUAUCUCAAAUACACAAAUGAGCAGAUAAACAAGAACCACGGAAUGGCUGACGACCAUCAACACUGUGACAGACAUCUACAAUAAACGCAGUGAGCUCAGAUUCAGUGUUAAGGUGACUGGCGAUGGCAUCCUUCCUCCCCUACGCCUCAUUUUCAAUAGGAGCAAGAUAAAUCUUACUUAUCUUUGGAGCAGAUAGGGAGGAGAGAAUGGAGGAGAGCACAUCUAGGUAGGGAAAUAGCACGUGACCCUCUUCAGAAGUGGGAGGAAGAAGUAGGGUCCUUCUUGUCUCAACAGUUCUCUAGAUCUACUUUUCCUGGAUCAGGCCACAAGCAGGGGAGAUUCCUGGAAAUGCUGCUGCUUUCCAUAAAUCCCAGACAGCCAUAGGACCUCAGACUGAACCCAUCAAUAUGUAAGCUGGGGUGGACAAUUGCUACCAGGGAGUAUCAAACCACAGCCAUGACCAGGAUGAGUUUGGACCCACAGCCACAUCCCGAGAAGCAGCUAUAGUUGGAGGCUCAGAGCAGUCCUCUCACUAACCACUAACCUCACAAUCACACAACCCCACAUCUUACUGUUUGCGUUUUGGAACACCACGUUAUGGAAGGGUCUUACUACACCAAACUCAGCAGAACGGACAAAAUCUAAAAUUUAAAGACACAUCAUUAAGACAGCAAUAAUUUCUAGACUAUGUUGCAUUCAUUAAACAUCAGCUCAAGAUGCCAGAAAGUAAAACAGGUAAUGGCUAAAAUUUUUUAAUCUAAUGAAAGAUGGGCACAGCAGAAGCUCUCAUCAGUGACCUGGGAAAUUGAGCUGAGACAGCUUCUCACUAACUUGCAAAAAGUGAAAGAGAUAAACAGAACAUUAUGAAGUUGGGAGGGUAUUUCUAAAAAUGGAGCGAAGCAAAUAGUCAAAUCAAUGAUAGAAAAAAAAGCUUCCCUACCUUUAAAGAUCUGAUUUGUUGGAUUGCAAUGGUCAUUUAGUCCUGAGGAAG